rnacentral:rRNA from 1 species
GGGCUCACACAAGCGGUGGAGGAUGUGGCUUAAUUCGAGGCUACGCGAAGAACCUUAUCCUAGUCUUGACAUGUAUGGAUUAACCCUGUGAAAGCAGGGCCACGCCUUCGGGUGGAACAUACACAGGUGCUGCAUGGCUGUCGUCAGCUCGUGUCGUGAGAUGUCGCGUUAAGUCGCUUAACGAGCGAAACCCUUGUCUCUAGUUGCCAGCGCGUAAUGGCGGGGACUCUAGAGAGACCGCCGGCGUUAAGCCGGAGGAAGGUGGGGAUGACGUCAAGUCCUCAUGGCCCUUAUGACUAGGGCUGCACACGUCCUACAAUGGAACGCACAAAGGGAUGCGAAACCGCGAGGUCAAGCAAAUCCCAUAAACCGUGGCUCAGUUCAGAUCGUAGGCUGCAACUCGCCUACGUGAAGGAGGAAUCGCUAGUAA